rnacentral:sRNA from 1 species
ACCUGUCCCCCUUCGGGAAGAACAAGAACCUUCGACCAAGGUUAGAAUUGAACGCAGCGAAAUAACAAUGCGCGCAGCGCGUUGACCCGCAGGGCAAGGAAUUCAGUGACGAGUCAUCCUUCUCCCACCACCA